rnacentral:misc_RNA from 1 species
CCGACAGCGGCCUGCGCCUGGGCGAGCCAAUCACUGGUGACGACAGCGGUGUGGGCAGCCCUACUUUGGUAAUAGGCUGAGAUUUUAGGGUUAGGGUUUUGAAAUGCGUCCGCCAUAGAAGAUUGCGCGGGUGGGGAGAUAGAAAGGGUUUCGGGGGGCUUUGAAGCGCCUUCAGCCUGCUGCUUGUCGAGGAUGAAAGAGG